AAAAAGAAAAAAAAGAAAAAAAGUUGCUCUUUUAAGCCACUAAGUUUAGGGGUAGUUUGUUAUGCAGCAAAAGAUAACUGAAACAGUGUAGUGGGAGUCUGGAAUUGUUACAGCCACAUGCAGAGAGUCUAAAGCCAUCCAAAAAGUGAUCAGGACAAAGUCCUCUUAAAUUUGACCUCAAGUAAGACCUCUGAAAUGUCUAAAUUUUAGCUCUGUAAUUUUUUCUUUUCCACUUUAAUUCUACUCGUUUCUAGGCACAAAAGAAAGAUGUUGUGAUCACUUUAGUUGAAGUUCAACAAGCAUGUAUUAUGUGCCUAUCAAGAGUCAGAUACUAUGCUAGGGACUCUGGGCAAACAGCUAAGCAAAAUUUGUUUAAACUCUAGUGGAGGAAACAUGUUUUUGAUAAUUUUAACGCAAAGUGAUCCAUGUUAAGACAGAGCUACAUAUGCAGUGCCCCAGAAGAGGGGUAAUUAACUCACCCCGGGGGUUUGAGGAAGACCCUCCAGAGACAUGAUGCAUAAACUGAGUCAUGCGUGAUAGGUAAGAAGCUGGUAAAAGGAGGGAAGGGCAUUCUGUGCAAAGGGAACAGAGCAUGGUUAGAGCAGAGACAAGCAAAAGGGUGUUGUACUGAGAACUACAGGAACUUUGGUGUUCAGAGAUGGGGCAGAUAGUGGCAGGUGAGUUCACAGGGUGAGGCAGGGUCAGGGAGGAACUUGUAGUCAGGCUGUGCUGGGGAGGCGGGGCAUUACUCUGAAGGUAAUGGGGAAUCAUAGAAGAGAUUACGGAAGGAGAGUGCUUUAGGUUGAUCACUCGGGCUCUAGUGUAGAUCAAAGGUGCUUGAGUGUGUGAAUCUGAGGUUCAUGGGUAGAGUCAAGGCUGAAGAAACACUCGGAAAUUACCGGAACAUAGGUGGAUUAUUACUUCACAAUACAUAUUUUAAGGAUCACUACAUGCUGGGCAUAUCCCAAUGUUUGAAAAAGAUUGUUAUUUACAAAUAUAGGUCUAUUUUGUGUCCCACUUGGCAAAUGCAUCAAAAGGAGGACUCGAUUGCCUUCCUGGAAUUAUUUUUGAAAUAUCUCUGCCUUCCCAGAAACCAGGGAGUACAUAUUCAACUCUAUCUGAGUCUGUGCUGACGUAAAAUUCAGUGAAGAUGAUAUUUUGCAAUUUUCUGAUUCAUGAGUGACUCAUCAAGUCAUCCAAGCCAGUGGUUCAGAAAACACUUGGGACAAGGCCCUAGAGGUGUGACCUUGGUAAACAAUGGAUAUUUAAUAAAUAUUAAUUGUUUUUAAAUCUGCAAAGUAAUCCUAAGAAGUAGAAUUCACUCUGGAAAGGGCAUAAUGAUCUGGUUUGUUAAUUGUGAACAUAUCAUCCAGAAACUUAACUUUGUGCUUUGCAAACCACCUAAAGCACAGCCAGUGACAUUUGUCACAGCACACAAAGGUUUUCGCUUUACCAACCCAGCCCUCGUAUGUAUCGGCCAGAUGCUGUUACCUUUUGUGCUUUCUGAAUGGACUAAGAAGGGGAGGAUUAGAACCAAAGAGUUGGAGGAUUUUGUCUUAAGCAUCUGCCUUAUGGUAAAGCCUUGAGAAAAUCCAGAGGCCUCUUGACACUACCAUGUAAUGGCUUUUCCCAUUAAUGGGAAGCAGAUGGGGUUAAAGGGUUGUCACUAUUGUUUUAAGCAAGAUUCUCACGCAACUUCCUAUAUCAUAUGUUUGCAACAAAGUAAGAAAAUCAUCAUAUAUCCCAUGGGAAGGCCACCCCCUUCACUUUUACACGCCAUGCUUACUUGCCUUUUAUGUUUCUUUUAGUUAGUAAGCAGAAGCUAAACUCUCAAGAGACAAGAAUAAAGUGAAAGAGUUCUAUUGGUUGUCACACUUGGGUCACAAAUUUUCUUGGAAGCUGUGCAAUAAAAGAGAUCAGAACACCAUCGCUUCCCAGAGUGUUUGACCAAUUAUGACAGCAGUGACUGAGUUCCAGAUGGCAGUGGAACCCAUGAAGUCAAGCAUCCAACUCCAUGGUAACUGCUAAGAGGAAACUAAGGAAGUGUGGACCAUGGCUCUUUGCUAAAAGAAGCCUAUAACUUAGUCUGGAAGAUAAUUCUGCAGAACUGUGCUGAAUAACAGUGUAGGGAAAAGAGCCAUCUUAAAGCAACACAUAUCACGUGUCCAUCUGGAACCCACCUGCAAGGCUAGUGUCAUCUGGAUAGAGAGAUUAGGUGAGGAGGUGACAGAUAGGUAGGUGGAGGGUCCUGAAUACCUGACAAGCUGGGCGGUGGGGGCAUUGCCUAAACCAGUCUGUGAGGGGAUACUGUAGCCAGGGGCAUGGAGCGGGAACCUCAAGGAGACAGUGGUGGCUGCAUCAUCAGACAAACCAACCCACUACCUAGAGCCGUGUGCCAGAGCCUCCCAUGGAGAGUGGUCAAGGAUAUGCUCAAAAAGUUGACUGGAGAUUCUCAAAGAGUUACAUUCCUUUUCCUGUGACUCACAUCAGGGAGUGGUGGGGGAACAGGACUUUAUCUCCAAGAUAAAAGUCAAUAGGCCUCAAUUUUGACUUCCAGCUGUGUACUCAGAUCUGUACAGCUGCCUGUCCCUUGUGCAUAGUGAAGGCUCACUAGAUGAUAAUAGCUGGGGUCAGCAGCAUGACCAGUAGAGCAACAGAAUGCAAAGUAGACAUAGGGCUGGAGAGCUUGGAACUGUCCAUGAGUUUGAGGAAGGGGAGGUGCCUCAGGCCGUUUGUUUUAUCUGGAACUAGCCUUGGAUAUGCCAACACUGACAUGUGAAGGGGCAUGAUGAGCUGGACAGCCCCAAGCGUAGAUCGUAACAGGCAGGAGGCACCCUGGGCUUGGCUGUUACACAGGUGUUAUGAGCUUAUAUUGGCUUCGGAGCACAAGGAGUGAGGUUUGUUGGCCUGGUAUAGCCCUGGCCUCAAGGCUCGCUUUUGGAAGUCCCUUUCCUUGGUUUGACUUCUACCAUUUGUGUUUUGAAGUCUGGCUAAAUUGAAUGCCAGAGAUCAGAGUUCAUAUAAAUAACCAGAAGUUAUUGCUUUUGGACAAUCAGAGCUUGUGUCUGAUUGUCCUUACAUCCCAAACACAAGAGAUUUGUGCGUUAGGGGGAGCGUGUGCUUUGCCCUUUGUGAAUGUCUUCACCACGGUAAGAUAAAAACUAGAGUGUUAAACUGUAUCUCUUGGCCCAGUUUAAUAUCUUUGGCUUGGCUAAGAUACUGAGAGUUACUCUGUGCUUCUGAGCAGCCCUCCCUUCCAUGUUCGUAUUCUUAUUGCAGCCGUGGACUCAAGAAAGCUCGUUUGCUCAACUUCUGUUAACAGUGAAGGCCCCUGGAAUCUUUAUAUCCCCCAAAGAAAGAAGACUGUGGGCUACAGUGUCAAUGUUUUAUUAUUUUAUUUUUAAAAAUAAUUUGCUUAUUCCUACUUUUUUCUAAAAAGGACUGGAGUCUGCUCAUAAUGAGAACAUAUGCUACACACUGUUUCCCUCUUUUUUGUUAUUUUUUGCUGUUCUGUUAUUUAUAACAGAGAAACACUUUUAUAUUUUUAAAGCUCAUUCACUAUUUCUUUGGUAAUAUUUCUCUGUUUACUUUUAAAGAAUCUAUAAUUUAUCUCCUACAGUUGAGUCAAAUACUGUAGUCCAGGGUGUGGCAAACUAUGGCUGUUGGCCAAAUCUGGCCAACCACGUGUUUUUGUAAAUAAAGUUUUAUCAGAAUACAGCCAUGGUCAUUUGUUGAUCAUUGUCCAUGGCUCCUUUUGUACUACAAUGGCAGAGUCAGGUAGUUAACAAAGUUAACAGAGUCUGCAAAGCCAAAAAUAUUUCCUAUCUAGCCCUCUACAGAAAAAGUUUGCUAACCCCACUCUAGUUCAUAGUCUAACAUAAUUUUGAAAUAUCCCGAUUGGCACUCUUUGGUGGUAUGUGGCAACAAUCUAUAUUAAUUCUUCUCCAUACCACUGUUACUCUGGCCUUUGAGUUCUAAUUCCAGUCCUCUUUUUUUUUUUUUUUUUUUUUUG